rnacentral:sRNA from 1 species
ACAUGUACACUUUUAGGUAAGUAAACAACCAUUUUUCGAAACAAAAUAACAAAAAUGUGCAAAUGAUGUUGUGGUGAUCUACGGCGGAUUCAAAGCUACACCAUAUAUUGAGCCUUAAAUUUAAAAGAAUUGGAGGAUGGUAAUUAUGUAUUUUCCUUCUGCUUAAAACGACUGUGAGAAUUGGUUCGAGAGCUAAAGAAUUCCCCCAAAUAGAAAUCACUUUAGGUUUUGAUUGGUAAAGAAUGAGAGUAAUAGUGUAAUAGAGAAGAAAAAGGUGGAAUGAAUAGUUAAAAGAAUAAAACAAAAAGAAAA